rnacentral:rRNA from 1 species
CUUUAUUGGAGAGUUUGAUCCUGGCUCAGGAUGAACGCUGGCGGCGUGCCUAAUACAUGCAAGUCGAGCGAAUGGAUUAAGAGCUUGCUCUUAUGAAGUUAGCGGCGGACGGGUGAGUAACACGUGGGUAACCUGCCCAUAAGACUGGGAUAACUCCGGGAAACCGGGGCUAAUACCGGAUAACAUUUU